UUAGGUCAUACUUCUCUCACGCGUUAUAACAAUCGGUUUCGUGUAGAUAGGAUAAGUAGUUUUGUAAGCUGUGACCUCACACUUUUCAAUUUUUCAUAUGUACAUCUUCUUUGAUGGAGCCUGUGUCUUGCAGUAUGUCCUGCUGGAUACUAUGCAAUGUAAAUUGAAAUGUAUACAUAGGGACAGUAGCGAUGCUAACAUUCAAUCGGUUUGGAACAAAGCAAUCUUGACUGGAUUGAUAUUCUUCGAUUGCAGCAAAGGACAAGAAAAGGAUGGUAUACAGUAUUGUGCUUCGUCCUAUCUAGGGAAUGUGAAAUUGCUGCGGAAGUAUAUAAACAAGAUAUGUCAAAAUUCCAUUUAUGUAAAU